rnacentral:lncRNA from 1 species
GAAAAAUUAGGAUUAAAUCAUUAUUAUUGACGUUGUGGUGUGUUUGUUGGAGAUGGCUAAGCUUACUUUAAUGCAUAUUUUCGCUCUUUUCCUUCUGCUUGCAGGUUUAUUCUAGAUAGUGUAACAAUAUCUACUUUCUUGAUAUUUAUCUAUGUAUGAUUUGUAAAACUUAUCAUGGUUUAAUCACCAAUUCUAUUUGUAUAAUUGAUGGGACACUUGGGUUUUUAUAUCAUAUAAUAAGAGUACAUUGUUUUAUAAAAUGAAAAGUUUUGUGACAUAUUAAAUUAAAAUUUCAUGAGAGUUAGCAUGCCUAAAAUUAUAAUUCUUGCAUGUGGUAACUUUGUUUUUGAAAUUUCAGGUAUUUUCACCACAAGUGAAGCUACAAGAGAAAGAGUAAAGAUUAAUAUAAGUUGUUACAUUGCCCAAGAUUGUAACCCUCAAUGUGAACUUCAGUUUCGUGGACGUGGUACUAAUAUAAUGGGAGAAUGUGUUUCCCACGAAUGCUACUGUACUUACGAUGACUGAUAUGUUUUAACCGUCGUAUUAAUAUAAUUGAAGAAUGAAUAAAAUCUGAUUCUCUAUUGAAUCGGAACUUUGGACUAUUUAAUUCUCACAUUCUCGUUGGCAAUUGCGUGAUGUUAUUUUGAUCAGAUUAUUGUAGUCAAAUGAAAAUUAUUUAUAAG